ACGCUCGACACCACGGAGGCAGCAGUGGGGGAUAUUGCACAAUGGGGGAAACCCUGAUGCAGCAACGCCGCGUGAAGGAAGAAGGUCUUCGGAUUGUAAACUUCUGUCCUCAGGGAAGAUAAUGACGGUACCUGAGGAGGAAGCUCCGGCUAACUACGUGCCAGCAGCCGUGGUAAUCUGAGCGGGCUGGCAAGGC
rnacentral:rRNA from 1 species